CAAGAGGAAAAGGUAUAUUAAUGCAAUACAAAUAUUUGGUCGUGGUUAGAACCUACCCAAUAUGUGCUGCUACAUCAAUGCAAUUGUGCUUGAUAUUGUGUCACUUGUGAACUAACAUGUCUUGUUUUCUGAUGUGUUUUAGACAAAUAGUUUCAUAUGUGUUUUUAUUUCAAAAUGUUUGAGAUUCUAUGCUUAUUGCUUGUUAAUGUUUCAGAUAUUGGAAUAUGUAAUACUCACAAACUCACUAAAAAUGGAGGCUGCCUCUUUGCCAUAUAAAUUUGUGUGAAGCCAACAACCUUCUAUACUGACCAAACUGAAACCUUAGCAUGUUUGUUUGUAGGAUCCACUGUUCACAAGCAUGUACCCUCGUCGAGCCUCGGCACAUAGUGAUCAUCAGAACUGAAAAAAUCAAGUAUGGUCCACCCACGCUCGCAUAGACAGAUUACAAUUUCAGUAAGGACAGACGAAAAAAAUAUGUAUGUGUAAAGGUGCCCACCUCCUAUGAUGACAAUGCCGCCCUGCUCCUCAGCAACUUCAGAUCUUGAUUCCCUAGCAGCGUCCUAGCCUGAUUGAGUGGUGAUGGUCACGUUGGUCUGUUACUCUUAGGCCGAGGCCAACAAGAAGGUUAUGUCUGCCAACUGUUGUGGCAGUGUCUUGGGCUGAUUGAGUGUUGUCUGCUCCAGUCCAUUGACACCGCCUCUUUUUCUAGCUAUGUAUGUGCACAAUCAUCUCUUAUGUUCAGUGUUCCAGUAUGACCUUGCAAUUUUUUGUUGUUGUUUAUUUCAUAGCGCAUGGAGCUUAGAUUGGGUUCUUGUUAUUUUGUCCGUAAUUGUAUCUGAAUGUAGCCAGACAAUUAUGAUAUGUACAUUCUUGACUUAGUUCAGAAAUCUGAUGCAAGCUAAUAGAUUCUUGUUGGCA